UCAUCAGGACUUACAGAGGCUCAAAGUCCAAACCCACGGGGAGGUGGAGCUAGUGGGAGUCGGAAACCAUUAGCAGGUAGUUUCCUUUACUCCGCAGGCACUAGUCUAAGCCGGUCCAGGUUAACUUCCACGGGGGCAGCCCCGCCCCGGAAGCACACCCUCCUCUUCUGGGGGGAGAGGGGAGCCGGGCCAGGAGGGAGGGGAGCCGUCUUCCCCCGCGACUGCGCCUUGGGCAGCCUUCUGGGGUGUCCCCUGAGGCUAACCCCGCACCCCCAGGUGGCUGGAGGGCAAAGCCAGGAGCACCGACACGACCAGGGCGAAGGGCACACGUUUUCCCGCCUGGACCCGAGCGGCUACGGACCCUCAGCCAUCCCUGCCGCGCCGCAGGCAGGGGCGGCUCCGGCCACGCCCCAAAGACCCCAGACCCCGUCUCCACCCGGGAACUCGGGGCUCCCGCACUGGGGGGCUGCGGCCGCCGGGCUCGAUUAGGCCCCGGCUGCCACCAGAGGUCGCCACGAGCCCCCCGCCCCCGAAACUCCUCCGGACCUCCGGGACCAGAACCCGGACAACCUCCUGGGGCCCUCGGGGUCCCGCCCCACCGGGCCACGGCCCGGUGCCGGGACUUCGGAGGCAGGGGCCCCGCCUACCUGAGGGUCCCGGCCUGGCGGACGCUCGCAGUAGGAACACUUCCGGCGGACGCAUGCACUUCCGGCCUCCGGGAGCCAAUGAGGGUGCGGCCACGGGUGUUGCUCAGUCUGGCGUCCGUGCUGCGCGGCGUCUCUCCGGGAGGAUUCGGGCGGGUGGGCCCCAGGACCUGAGUUAGAGUUGUGCUGUGAAACCCUGGUUCUGGCCCAGCACCGAGAAGCCUUUGCUGUGGUGGGAAUGUCCAGUGACCCACCUUGCACGACACUUCAGGUCCACAGAAUUUCCUUGUGAAAGUAAGUGACUGCUGUGCUACUGUCAUCAGGUCUCGUUUUUUGAUUAACGGUAAUCGUGUGGACACAUCCAGGCUUUCAGUAACGCAGAUCUCUCAGGGACAGACAGGGGUCAGUGCCAAAGCAAAGCACACUGAAAAAAAAUAUGCUUCUUUGCUUUAGCAUUUGAAGAACUUGCUAAACAAACGUUUUCUCAUUGUGUACUUCCCCUAAUUUUGGUUAUGACAGUAUGUGUUCUCUUCAGGCAUUUGUGUGCGAUCAUCAGAGCUGUGCUGACCCAGGCGUUCUGUUUGCCUGCUCUUCUUUCUACGUGACUUAGUCUGAUUCGGCACUUCUCUGCUUAGAGUGUUCCCUGGAUUCUUGUCUAGAGUUCAAGGAUAAUGAAAAAGUAUUCCCAGUGU
rnacentral:lncRNA from 1 species